UACGUAGGGGGCAAGCGUUGUCCGGAUUUAUUGGGCGUAAAGAGCUCGUAGGCGGUUUGUCGCGUCUGCUGUGAAAACUCGGGGCUUAACUCCGGGCCUGCAGUGGGUACGGGCAGACUAGAGUGCGGUAGGGGAGACUGGAAUUCCUGGUGUAGCGGUGAAAUGCGCAGAUAUCAGGAGGAACACCUGCGGUGUAGACGGCUUUCUGGACCAUUGCUGACGCUGAGACACGAAAGCGUGGGUAGCAAACAGG
rnacentral:rRNA from 1 species